UACGUAGGGUGCAAGCGUUAAUCGGAAUUACUGGGCGUAAAGCGUGCGUAGGUGGUUCGUUAAGUCCGAUGUGAAAGCCCUGGGCUCAACCUGGGAAUGGCAUGGGAUACUGGCGGGCUAGAGUGCGGUAGAGGGCAGUGGAAUUCCCGGUGUAGCAGUGAAAUGCGUAGAGAUCGGGAGGAACAUCUGUGGCGAAGGCGACUGCCUGGACCAGCACUGACACUGAGGCACGAAAGCGUGGGGAGCAAAC
rnacentral:rRNA from 1 species